rnacentral:misc_RNA from 1 species
AAGUCGUAACAAGGUUUCCGUAGGUGAACCUGCGGAAGGAUCAUUAACGAAUUCAAUCCAGCUUUUCUGGCUGUGCAUUCACUUGCACGCCGGUCGAGUUGGCUCUUCUGAAUUUACACACCUGUGCACCUUCGAUUGACCUCUCCAGUUUCGCGCGAUUUUUUUGCGAGAAAAUUUUUGUCUGCUCUUCGGGGUGGGAUUGACGCGUUGCGGUGAACUUGUGUUCAUAGCUCGCGUUUGGGGAGGACAUUCGUUUUUUUACACCUUUUUUGUAUGUCUUUGAAAAAAUUCAGUCGCUCUGUGAUGGAGUGAUUGUGAAAAUAAAUACAACUUUCAGCAACGGAUCUCUUGGCUCUC